UGUUCUGUGGCUUGGUUGGUUGGAGCGCCGGUCUAGCGAGUAGCGAAUACGGGGUCGUGGGUUCGAAUCCCAUCAGAACGC
rnacentral:tRNA from 1 species